AAAAAAAUUACACUGCUCAACAAGACUGGCGAUCAAAUCGCUCUAUUCUGAUGGCUUAUAUCCUCAUUGUUAACCCUGUAGGAAUGAGAAGGGCCGAUUACAGCGAAGGGAUCGAUGUCGCAGAAGUCUGAAAAGCUUCGCUUUGCAACCUAUCUGACAUGCUUCAUUUGACGAGAUGGAUAUACAAGUCGAGAGUUGUUAUAAAGUUGAGGAAUCUCUUUACUUGGUGGUCAUUUAUAGCCAAGCCAAAUACAAAUACAAGUUGAAUUAAUUGCAGCGUGUGAAAGCAGUAGCACAUUCACGUAAUGUGCCACCAUCUUUGCAAUGCAAAGCACUUCUUUCAGCCAGCUACGGAUAGGCGAAAGAUCGCAAUGUAUGCAAGUCCUUCCUGAUCAUGUGAACAAUAGUUAAUUUAAUCUACAGUCAGUUUUUCAAGACAGUACCUACCACCGAGGAUUGGACAAUUAAUCUGAUUCACUAUGUUCUUUUUUGCAGAAAUGCACAUUUGAAUACCUUCCUUUUACAUUUUUUGGCGAACUCUGUGAUGUAGUUGGUCUCUGGAAUUCAAUUGAAAUACCUUCCUUCAUUCAUGAUUUAUUGCUUUCAAUGCGUCAAUAUCUUUAAUUCAAUUCUGCCUCUUGUUACCAACGAAGAAGGAGACAAGUUCGGAAAAUCUGCUGGCGAUGGUAUUUGGCUGGACGAAGAAAAAACGUCGCCUUUUUCUCUUUAUCAAUUCUUUUUGAAAAUGCCAGAUUCUGAAGUCGAGAAUCUUCUCAAGUUGUUCACGUUGUUCAAGUUGUUUUAUCCCACUGGAAGAAAUUGCAUUUCUCAUUUAACAACACAAAAAAUCACAAACGAUUCUAGCUGAAGAUGUGACGCUUCUAGUCCAUUGAGAGGCGGGUCUAAAACAAGCCGAAAAAGUCACAGAAGCGCUCUACAAGGCAAAUUUUGAAGGACUAGGUGAACUGAAUUACAAUUAAAUCCUAUCGUUAAGAUUUUUCCAGAGCCUGGACUAUCCAAUCUUGAUCUGGCACUAAAAGCUUAAUGAUUUACAACAGAGACUGAUACGAUGAGAAUCAUCACCGCUGGAGGGUUCUAUAUCAAGCAAUAGCGAACUCAAAACUUCGCACUAACAUCACACUAACUCAUCAGCACUAACAUCACAUACCAUUUCUAUCUAUUAGUUCAAAAUGUUAAAUGUCUCCUUUUUGUUGGCAAUGAUGAGCAUAUGGAUAAAAACAAUUUGUUUUCAUUAAUAAUAAUAUUGUAUUCUUUUUUUUUAUAAAAAAAAAAAAUAAUUUGAAUCAUUAAACAUGUAGACUUCCUGGUUUGUUAAUCAUGUUUAUAUAUUUUUUUAAAUACUAUGAAAUUAAUUCAAAUAUGUUUUUAAAUUCCAUUCGGUACUCAAAUUUAUAAUUAGUGACAUAAUAUACAUACAUUUAAGGCUUUUUUAGGCUCACUAAAUUCAUGAAGUAGUUUUUUUUUUCCAAAAAAAAAUGUGAUGAUUUCCAAAUCUACAAUAUUUUUUUAAUAUUUCGCUUAAAUUUGUACUUUUCAUCUUGUAGUACAUUGAAUAAAUAAAAAAAUAAUGUUGAGAAAUGGUGUUCUUCAGUUUGAGCACAUGCAGCUAAAAUCGAAGUUUAGAUUCGUAAUCAGCAUCAAAAAUUAUCUCAAACGAACUAUUUAAAAUUUGUACAUUACCAUUUGUAUAUUCUUCAAAAUUCACUUGAUUCAACCGAAUUCAACCCCUGAAGCAAAAAGCACCAACAUCUUUAAAUUCAAAACAAAUUCCUUUAUUAUUAAAGUAAAGCAAAUCAUAAAUAAUUUUGAAUAAAAAUAAUCCUAGUCAGCAAAGAAACAGUAGAAUAUACAAUAUAUACAAAAUUACACUAUAGCUCAAAAUAAAUAAACAAGUUGUUUGCAAAAAAAGAUUAUUUUCUAGAUAUACAUAGAAAUAAAUUUAGGAACCUAGCUGUAAUAUACAUUUUAAAUAAAACCUAUAAUCUAUAA